CCAAUAGCGUAUAUUAAAGUUGCUGCAGUUAAAAAGCUCGUAGUUGAAUUUCGGGACUAAUCUGUCGGUCGUGCCUCGGUACGUACUGGUAUUUUUGGUUUCUCCCUUCUGACGAACCUUGAUGUCAUUAUUUUGGUGUCUUGGGAAAUCAUGACUGUUACUUUGAAAAAAUUAGAGUGUUUAAAGCAGGCUCACGCUUGAAUACAUUAGCAUGGAAUAAUGAAAUAGGACGUUUGAUUCUAUUUUGUUGGUUUCUAGGAUCGACGUAAUGAUUAAUAGGGAUAGUUGGGGGCAUUAGUAUUCAAUUGUCAGAGGUGAAAUUCUUGGAUUUAUUGAAGACUAACUACUGCGAAAGCAUUUGCCAAGGAUGUUUUCAUUAAUCAAGAACGAAAGUUAGGGGAUCGAAGACGGUCAGAUACCGUCGUAGUCUUAACCAUAAACUAUGCCGACUAGGGAUCGGAUGAUGUUAAUUUUUUAAUGACUCAUUCGGCGCCUUACG
rnacentral:rRNA from 1 species